ACGUAGGUGACAAGCGUUAUCCGGAUUUAUUGGGCGUAAAGCGCACGCAGGCGGCGGCACAAGUCUGACGUGAAAUCUCCCAGCUUAACUGGGAGCGGUCGUUGGAAACUGUGUGGCUUGAGGCGUGGAGAGGGGUGUGGAAUUCCCGGUGUAGUGGUGGAAUGCGUAGAGAUCAUGAAGAACACCAGUAGCGAAGGCGGUCAUCUGGCUCGAUACUGACGCUCAGGGACGAAAGCGUGGGGAGCAAACAGGA
rnacentral:rRNA from 1 species